rnacentral:rRNA from 1 species
UUGAUCCUGGCUCAGGACGAACGCUGGCGGCGUGCUUAACACAUGCAAGUCGAGCGAGAAACCAUUGAUUGAUUCUUCGGAAGAUUCGAUGGCGGAAAGCGGCGGACGGGUGAGUAACGCGUGGGCAACCUACCGUGUACAGGGGGAUAACAUCGGGAAACCGGUGCUAAUACCGCACAACACAUCAACAUGGCCUCAUGAAGAUGUCAAAGGAGGAAUCCGGUAUAAGAUGGGCCCGCGUCCAAUUAGCUAGUUGGUGAGGUAACGGCUCACCAAGGCGACGAUUGGUAGCCGAACUGAGAGGUUGAUCGGCCACAUUGGGACUGAGACACGGCCCAGACUCCUACGGGAGGCAGCAGUGGGGAAUAUUGCACAAUGGGGGAAACCCUGAUGCAGCAACGCCGCGUGAAGGAUGAAGGUCUUCGGAUCGUAAACUUCUUUGAUUGGGGAAGAAGAAGUGACGGUACCCAAAAAACAAGCCACGGCUAACUACGUGCCAGCAGCCGCGGUAAUACGUAGGUGGCAAGCGUUGUCCGGAAUUACUGGGUGUAAAGGGCGUGUAGGCGGGGGUGCAAGUCAGAUGUGAAAGCCCGUGGCUCAACUGCGGGACUGCAUCUGAAACUGUAUCUCUUGAGUACUGGAGAGGGAAGUGGAAUUCCUAGUGUAGCGGUGAAAUGCGUAGAGAUUAGGAGGAACACCAGUGGCGAAGGCGGCUUCCUGGACAGUUACUGACGCUGAGGCGCGAAAGCGUGGGGAGCGAACAGGAUUAGAUACCCUGGUAGUCCACGCCGUAAACGAUGGAUACUAGGUGUAGGAGGUAUCGACCCCUUCUGUGCCGGAGUAAACGCAAUAAGUAUCCCACCUGGGGAGUACGACCGCAAGGUUGAAACUCAAAGGAAUUGACGGGGGCCCGCACAAGCAGUGGAGUAUGUGGUUUAAUUCGAAGCAACACGAAGAACCUUACCAGGGCUUGACAUCCCUUGAACGCUCUAGAGAUAGAGUUUCCCUUCGGGGCAAGGUGACAGGUGGUGCAUGGUUGUCGUCAGCUCGUGUCGUGAGAUGUUGGGUUAAGUCCCGUAACGAGCGCAACCCUUGUCGUUAGUUGCCAGCAAGUAAUGUUGGGCACUCUAAUGAGACUGCCGGUGAUAAAUCGGAGGAAGGUGGGGAUGACGUCAAAUCAUCAUGCCCCUUAUGUCCUGGGCUACACACGUACUACAAUGGCUGGUACAGAGGGGAGCUAAGCCGCGAGGUGUAGCAAAUCCCAAAAACCAGUCCCAGUUCGGAUUGCAG